rnacentral:rRNA from 1 species
UACGUAGGGUGCAAGCGUUGUCCGGAAUUAUUGGGCGUAAAGAGCUCGUAGGCGGUUUGUUGCGUCGGCUGUGAAAUCCCGAGGCUCAACCUCGGGUCUGCAGUCGAUACGAGCAAACUAGAGUGUUGCAGGGGAGACUGGAAUUCCUGGUGAUAGCGGUGAAAUGCGCAGAUAUCAGGAGGAACACCGGUGGCGAAGGCGGGUCUCUGGGCAACAACUGACGCUGAGGAGCGAAAGCGUGGGGAGCGAACAGG